rnacentral:rRNA from 1 species
GAUGAACGCUGGCGGCGUGCUUAACACAUGCAAGUCGAACGAAGCAUUUGCGACAGAUUUUUUCGGAAUGAAGUUGCUUAUGACUGAGUGGCGGACGGGUGAGUAACGCGUGGGUAACCUGCCUUGUACUGGGGGAUAGCAGCUGGAAACGGCUGGUAAUACCGCAUAAGCGCACAAUGUUGCAUGACAUGGUGUGAAAAACUCCGGUGGUAUAAGAUGGACCCGCGUCUGAUUAGCUAGUUGGUGAGAUAACAGCCCACCAAGGCGACGAUCAGUAGCCGACCUGAGAGGGUGACCGGCCACAUUGGGACUGAGACGCGGCCCAGACUCCUACGGGAGGCAGCAGUGGGGAAUAUUGCACAAUGGAGGAAACUCUGAUGCAGCGACGCCGCGUGAGUGAAGAAGUAAUUCGUUAUGUAAAGCUCUAUCAGCAGGGAAGAUAGUGACGGUACCUGACUAAGAAGCUCCGGCUAAAUACGUG